rnacentral:rRNA from 1 species
UGAGGAAUAUUGGUCAAUGGACGAGAGUCUGAACCAGCCAAGUCGCGUGAAGGAAGACGGUUCUAUGAAUUGUAAACUUCUUUUGUGCAGGAAUAAAGUGGGUUACGUGUAACCUUUUGUAUGUACUGUACGAAUAAGGAUCGGCUAACUCCGUGCCAGCAGCCGCGGUAAUACGGAGGAUCCGAGCGUUAUCCGGAUUUAUUGGGUUUAAAGGGUGCGUAGGUGGAUUGAUAAGUCAGCGGUGAAAGUUUGCAGCUUAACUGUAAAAUUGCCGUUGAAACUGUCGGUCUUGAGUGCAAAUGAGGUAGGCGGAAUGUGUUGUGUAGCGGUGAAAUGCUUAGAUAUAACACAGAACUCCGAUUGCGAAGGCAGCUUACUGGGAUGCAACUGACACUGAUGC